UAGGGAAUCUUCGGCAAUGGACGAAAGUCUGACCGAGCAACGCCGCGUUAGUGAAGAAGGUUUUCGGAUCGUAAAACUCUGUUGUUAGAGAAGAACAAGGACGUUAGUAACUGAACGUCCCCUGACGGUAUCUAACCAGAAAGCCACGGCUAACUACGUGCCAGCAGCCGCGGUAAUACGUAGGUGGCAAGCGUUGUCCGGAUUUAUUGGGCGUAAAGCGAGCGCAGGCGGUUUCUUAAGUCUGAUGUGAAAGCCCCCGGCUCAACCGGGGAGGGUCAUUGGAAACUGGGAGACUUGAGUGCAGAAGAGGAGAGUGGAAUUCCAUGUGUAGCGGUGAAAUGCGUAGAUAUAUGGAGGAACACCAGUGGCGAAGGCGGCUCUCUGGUCUGUAACUGACGCUGAGGCUCGAAAGCGUGGGGAGCAAACAGG
rnacentral:rRNA from 1 species